CGCUGCUACCAUGCAGUCGAACGGCAGCACGGGGGCAACCCUGGUGGCGAGUGGCGAACGGGUGAGUAAUGUAUCGGAACGUGCCCAGUCGUGGGGGAUAACUAUCCGAAAGGAUAGCUAAUACCGCAUACGACCUGAGGGUGAAAGCGGGGGACCCCAAGGGUAACUGAGGGGCCUCGCGCGAUUGGAGCGGCCGAUAUCGGAUUAGCUAGUUGGUGGGGUAAAGGCUCACCAAGGCGACGAUCCGUAGCGGGUCUGAGAGGACGACCCGCCACACUGGAACUGAGACACGGUCCAGACUCCUACGGGAGGCAGCAGUGGGGAAUUUUGGACAAUGGGGGCAACCCUGAUCCAGCCAUUCCGCGUGAGUGAAGAAGGCCUUCGGGUUGUAAAGCUCUUUCAGCGGGAACGAAACGGUCGAUCCUAAUAAGGUCGGCUAAUGACGGUACCUGCAGAAGAAGCACCGGCUAACUACGUGCCAGCAGCCGCGGUAAUACGUAGGGUGCGAGCGUUAAUCGGAAUUACUGGGCGUAAAGCGUGCGCAGGCGGUGACAUAAGACAGAUGUGAAAUCCCCGGGCUCAACCUGGGAACUGCGUUUGUGACUGUGUCGCUCGAGUGUAGCAGAGGGGGGUGGAAUCCCACGUGUAGCAGUGAAAUGCGUAGAGAUGUGGAGGAACACCGAUGGCGAAGGCAGCCCCCUGGGUUAACACUGACGCUCAUGCACGAAAGCGUGGGGAGCAAACAGGAUUAGAUACCCUGGUAGUCCACGCCCUAAACGAUGCCAACUAGGUGUUGGGGAAGGAGACUUCCUUAGCGCCGUAGCUAACGCGUGAAGUUGGCCGCCUGGGGAGUACGGUCGCAAGAUUAAAACUCAAAGGAAUUGACGGGGACCCGCACAAGCGGUGGAUGAUGUGGAUUAAUUCGAUGCAACGCGAAAAACCUUACCUACCCUUGAC
rnacentral:rRNA from 1 species